rfam:Cavia porcellus supercont2_132 genomic scaffold, whole genome shotgun sequence.
GGGGAUUUAGCUCAGUGGCACAGUGCCUGCCUGGCAAGUAUGAGAUCCUAAGAUCAAUUCUCAGUACUCCUG